rnacentral:rRNA from 1 species
AGGCUUUGAUCCUGGCUCAGAUUGAACGCUGGCGGCAUGCUUUACACAUGCAAGUCGAACGGUAACAGGUCUUCGGAUGCUGACGAGUGGCGAACGGGUGAGUAAUGCAUCGGAACGUGCCCAGUCGUGGGGGAUAACGCAGCGAAAGCUGUGCUAAUACCGCAUACGAUCUGCGGAUGAAAGCGGGGGACCUUCGGGCCUCGCGCGAUUGGAGCGGCCGAUGUCAGAUUAGGUAGUUGGUGGGGUAAAGGCUCACCAAGCCAACGAUCUGUAGCUGGUCUGAGAGGACGACCAGCCACACUGGGACUGAGACACGGCCCAGACUCCUACGGGAGGCAGCAGUGGGGAAUUUUGGACAAUGGGCGCAAGCCUGAUCCAGCAAUGCCGCGUGCAGGAAGAAGGCCUUCGGGUUGUAAACUGCUUUUGUACGGAACGAAAAGCUCUGGGUUAAUACCCUGGGGUCAUGACGGUACCGUAAGAAUAAGCACCGGCGUA